rnacentral:rRNA from 1 species
UACGUAGGGUGCAAGCGUUGUCCGGAAUUAUUGGGCGUAAAGAGCUCGUAGGUGGCCUGUCGCGUCGGCUGUGAAAACUCGGGGCUCAACUCCGAGCUUGCAGUCGAUACGGGCAGGCUAGAGUUCGGCAGGGGAGACUGGAAUUCCUGGUGUAGCGGUGAAAUGCGCAGAUAUCGGGAAGAACACCCGUGGCGAAGGCGGCACUCUGGGACGGUACUGACGCUGAGACGCGAAAGCGUGGGGAGCGAACAGG